UCGAACGAUGAAGCCUUUCGGGGUGGAUUAGUGGCGAACGGGUGAGUAACACGUGGGCAAUCUGCCCUUCACUCUGGGACAAGCCCUGGAAACGGGGUCUAAUACCGGAUAACACUCCUGCCUGCAUGGGCGGGGGUUAAAAGCUCCGGCGGUGAAGGAUGAGCCCGCGGCCUAUCAGCUUGUUGGUGGGGUAAUGGCCUACCAAGGCGACGACGGGUAGCCGGCCUGAGAGGGCGACCGGCCACACUGGGACUGAGACACGGCCCAGACUCCUACGGGAGGCAGCAGUGGGGAAUAUUGCACAAUGGGCGAAAGCCUGAUGCAGCGACGCCGCGUGAGGGAUGACGGCCUUCGGGUUGUAAACCUCUUUCAGCAGGGAAGAAGCGAAAGUGACGGUACCUGCAGAAGAAGCGCCGGCUAACUACGUGCCAGCAGCCGCGGUAAUACGUAGGGCGCAAGCGUUGUCCGGAAUUAUUGGGCGUAAA
rnacentral:rRNA from 1 species